GAGACACGGCCCAGACUCCUACGGGAGGCAGCAGUGGGGAAUUUUGGACAAUGGGGGAAACCCUGAUCCAGCAAUGCCGCGUGUGUGAAGAAGGCCUUCGGGUUGUAAAGCACUUUUGUCCGGAAAGAAAACCUCUGCCCUAAUACGGUGGGGGGAUGACGGUACCGGAAGAAUAAGCACCGGCUAACUACGUGCCAGCAGCCGCGGUAAUACGUAGGGUGCAAGCGUUAAUCGGAAUUACUGGGCGUAAAGCGUGCGCAGGCGGUUCGCUAAGACAGAUGUGAAAUCCCCGGGCUUAACCUGGGAACUGCAUUUGUGACUGGCGGGCUAGAGUAUGGCAGAGGGGGGUAGAAUUCCACGUGUAGCAGUGAAAUGCGUAGAGAUGUGGAGGAAUACCGAUGGCGAAGGCAGCCCCCUGGGCCAAUACUGACGCUCAUGCACGAAAGCGUGGGGAGCAGACAGGAUUAGAUACCCUGGUAGUCCACGCCCUAAACGAUGUCAACUAGUUGUCGGGUCUUCAUUGACUUGGUAACGUAGCUAACGCGUGAAGUUGACCGCCUGGGGAGUACGGUCGCAAGAUUAAAACUCAAAGGAAUGACGG
rnacentral:rRNA from 1 species